UUGUGGCUCUAAUGUAACGGUCACCAAUGGCAAUGUGUCCUACACGUCUACUAAAUUUGGUUCGGUUGCAAACGUCAGCUGUGACAACGGACACGAUGUAAACAAAGCUUCAAUAAGAUGUCUCGCAAAUGGUAACUGGGAAAAACCAACAUGUACCAUCAAAGAUUGUGGUUCGAAUUUAACCAUUGCUGACGGUACUGCUACAUUCACGUCUACUACAUUCGAGGCAACUGCAAAUAUAAGCUGUAACGCUGGGUAUGAUGCCAGCAAAAGUUCAGUAAAAUGUCUCGCAACUGGUAGCUGGGACACUGCAACCUGUAUCAUCAAGGACUGUGGGUCUAGUUUGAACGUGACUGACGGGACUUUGACAUUUACCAGCACUACAUUCGGAUCAAACGCUACCCUAGAAUGCAACAC